rnacentral:tRNA from 1 species
GCCAUUUUGGCUCAGUGGAUAGAGUGUUGGCCUGUGGAGUCAAGGGUCCCAGGUUCGAUUCUGGCCAAGGGCA